rnacentral:rRNA from 1 species
GAUGAACGCUGGCGGCGUGCCUAAUACAUGCAAGUCGAGCGAACGGACGAGAAGCUUGCUUUUCUGAUGUUAGCGGCGGACGGGUGAGUAACACGUGGAUAACCUACCUAUAAGACUGGGAUAACUUCGGGAAACCGGAGCUAAUACCGGAUAAUAUUUUGAACCGCAUGGUUCAAAAGUGAAAGACGGUCUUGCUGUCACUUAUAGAUGAAUCCGCGCUGCAUUAGCUAGUUGGUAAGGUAACGGCUCACCAAGGCAACGAUGCAUAGCCGACCUGAGAGGGUGAUCGGCCACACUGGAACUGAGACACGGUCCAGACUCCUACGGGAGGCAGCAGUAGGGAAUCUUCCGCAAUGGGCGAAAGCCUGACGGAGCAACGCCGCGUGAGUGAUGAAGGUCUUCGGAUCGUAAAACUCUGUUAUUAGGGAAGAACAUAUGUGUAAGUAACUGUGCACAUCUUGACGGUACCUAAUCAGAAAGCCACGGCUAACUACGUG